rnacentral:rRNA from 1 species
AGUGAACGCUGGCGGUAGGCCUAACACAUGCAAGUCGAACGGCAGCACAGUAAGAGCUUGCUCUUACGGGUGGCGAGUGGCGGACGGGUGAGGAAUACAUCGGAAUCUACUUUUUCGUGGGGGAUAACGUAGGGAAACUUACGCUAAUACCGCAUACGACCUACGGGUGAAAGCAGGGGAUCUUCGGACCUUGCGCGAUUGAAUGAGCCGAUGUUGGAUUAGCUAGUUGGCGGGGUAAAGGCCCACCAAGGCGACGAUCCGUAGCUGGUCUGAGAGGAUGAUCGGCCACACUGGAACGGAGACACGGUCCAGACGCCUACGGGAGGCAGCAGUGGGGAAUAUUGGACAAUGGGCGCAAGCCUGAUCCAGCCAUACCGCGUGGGUGAAGAAGGCCUUCGGGUUGUAAAGCCCUUUUGUUGGGAAAGAAAAGCAGCAGGUUAAUACCCCGCUGUUCUGACGGUACCCAAAGAAUAAGCACCGGCUAACUUCGUG